GGAGCAGUAGUUCAGUCGGUUGAAUACCUGCCUGUCACGCAGGGGUCGCGGGUUCGAGUCCCGUCCGUUCGCCA
rnacentral:tRNA from 1 species